AGGCCUAAUACAUGCAAGUCGAACGGACCCUUCGGGGUUAGUGGCGGACGGGUGAGUAACACGUGGGAACGUGCCCUUUGGUUCGGAACAACUCAGGGAAACUUGAGCUAAUACCGAAUGUGCCCUUCGGGGGAAAGAUUUAUUGCCAUUGGAGCGGCCCGCGUCUGAUUAGCUAGUUGGUGGGGUAAAGGCCUACCAAGGCUACGAUCAGUAGCUGGUCUGAGAGGAUGAUCAGCCACACUGGGACUGAGACACGGCCCAG
rnacentral:rRNA from 1 species